UAUGUGUGUGAGUGUAUGUUUGUGAGUGUGUGUGUGUGUGUGUGUGUGUGUGUGUGCUAGUGGUGGUACUUGUUCUUGUGAGGAGGUUUCAUGCAGCUCAGGCUGACCUCCACCUCUCUAUGUAGCUGAAGAUGACCUUGAACUUCUGACCCCACCCCUGUCUCCAUCUCCCAGGUGCCAGGAUUACAAGUCUAUGCUACCUCACCCAGUUAAUGCAAUGCUAGGACUCAAACUCAGAGCUUUGUGCGUUUUAGAACGUGGAAAUUAAGCCAAUGUUGCAGGUCUGGAUGAGCAUGAAGCAAGUUAACUGGAAUAUGUUUAAAGCCAUCCCAGCUAGAGGUAACUUGUCACACAUAAAUGUUGCCUAGUGCUUUUAGAGCACCAGCAGAUUCUGUGGCCUUUCAGGAACAGCCUUCUCAGAUCAGCAAUUGCUCCUUCUGCCUGUCCUCUCUGCUGGCAAACCUAAACUAACACUCUCUCUCUCUCUCUCUCUCUCUCUCUCUCUCUCUCUCUCUCUCUCUCUCUCUCUGCAGUUAGAGAUUUUCUCAAAGCACAAAGCAAUUUCCCUGGGAGCAUGGCCCAGAACCUUCUCUGGGGAUCUUUCAGCACCAUAGAAAGGGCAGGUAGCAGUUUAGCUUGGCCAGUAUGCGGGGACCCAGAAGCACAGCAUAGCUGUGGAUAUCUGCUAUAUUCAUAUUUCUUAUACUGCAUUCCUGUAGGGGCCAGCAGAGUAUCAGAGAACUGUGCCGAGAGAAUUCUUCCCAGCUCUGAAGACCAGAGAAAGACUUCCUGCCUCUCAAGGGUCCUUUCGCUUUUCUGCCACGAACUCCCAAACUCUCCUCCUUGCAUCUGAUCAACUUCUACACUUCCUGUCAAUCUCCUUUAUGCACCGCUUCUCCUGCAUCAGCACCUUGCCUUCAGAUCAAUCUUCUGCCAGGGUCCAGCGGGGCACUCUAUGCUGGUUCCUUUUUCUUCAUAGUACUUUAUGUGUGUGACCCUUUCUCUUUCCCAUCCAACAGGCCCUUUUGGUUUUGUGGCAGAACAAGGCAGGAAGAGAAAGAUAUGAAGAUUAAAAUGUGGGAGAAAGGACAGACCACAGCCAACCAUGAGCCAUGCGUAAUGAGAGCAGGAGAAAAGCUUGAGACCUACACUGCAGACUACAGAGCCAUCCUGUUGGUGAUGUCCGAUCUGUCACGCAAGAGUGUGCAUCUUCUCCAGUGGCUGACAGGACUGACCACUCCAAGAAGGAGGCAAGCUCACACUCACUCUCAAGAGUAAGUGACUGAUUCUAACGUUAGCUUCUUUCAGUGCACGGGAUUGAGGAUAGAGGAGUUUGGAAGUAGAACUUCUGCUGCAACUGUGCAGCCUUUGUGGGAGGUGCUUCUGCCAGGGGUGUCCUACCUGCGUGUUGCUGCCACUCAGAGGAAGGCGUCACAGCGUGCAAGUUCUCUUUCAGCACAGGAAAGAGAAUUAUUUUCAGGGAUGACUUUGUCACUGGCUUUGUAACAUGGCUUUGUGACUACGGGCAAAAGUCUUCCUGGAUAUAAAUUACCCUCCAGAGAAUGAGACCUGCUAUGGAAGGAAGGAGGGAGGGAGGGGAAGGAGGAAAGGGAAGGAAGGAAGAGGUUUGCUCACAGACCCAGUAUUGUUAGCACCAGGAGCACUCGAGCUUGCUCUUGUAACACUGCCCCCUCCCAACCCCCAUUUACCACUCUCCCUCUCCCUCUCUCCUUCUGCCCUUGAGAGACACUGUAGUUGUGUGGGUGGGUGGUCGGACAAGUGGGUGGAUAGACAGACGGAAGAGGGAGUUUCCUUCUUGGGAUUCUUGUAAUUGGUAUGUGGUUUACAUUCCAAUCAUCUGGAAGACUCUGAUAUUAAUCGGAAACAGCUUGAGCUCCACUUGCCUUGGGAUGCUGAACUCAGGCAGAGGUCUCUGUUUCCUUUCCUACAGGUUAACCCCUCUCCAAGUGUCUGUCAGCUUCAGUAACGUGGCUCUCAUCUGGACGAAGAGCACCAUUACACAGUUCAAAAAACAAAACCAAACCCAAGCAGUGCCAAGAAACGUCCAGCAGGGCUGGAAAGAUGUCUCAGGGCUCUGGGCUGCUGGCUGCUCUUCCAGAGGACCUGGGUUUGAUUCACAGCACUUGUGCAGUGGUUCACAGCUGUAGCUCCAGUGCCAAGAGAUCCAGUGCCCUUUCUGGCUUCCACUGUCUGUGUGGUGCAGACAAAACACCCAUGCAUAUACAAUUAAAUUUAGAAAUAAAUGUACAAUGAGGUUACUGGUGGUUCUCCCCCAAAGAAAUAUUAAUAGUUGUAUAGUUGCAAAAGAUUUCCACUCUCCAACCAGUAAAGGUUAUAUACAUUUUAUUUACAUAAAAAUAAUUUUUCUAUACCCAUAGCUUGAGCCCUUCAUGAUUUUACUUACUACAUAUUAAAGAUCUAGUUCAUUCUACUGCACUGCAUUGUACGCUGAAUUCGCAUGUACUGAUAGCUGCAGUUCAAGCUCUAAUGAUUACCACAGACUGGGUAGCUUUGGAAACAGCAGUUCAGUUUUCACAGUUCUGUAGGUUGGGGUGUGUAAGACCAAGCUCCCGUCAGACUGAGGGUCUAGCCAGGACCCACUUCUUGGUUCCUCUGUCUUACUAAUCCCUCAUACGUCUCUUCCUACAAGGCGCUGAUCAAUUAAAGUGGUUCACCGAGCUUGGAACUUGGAUGGAAUUACUUGUUUGAUGUAUUUUUGUCCUCUCUGUCUGGAGUAAAAAGGCAUAUAGUCCCCAGGGAGUCAUGCAACACUUGCUACCUGGACAUGAACAGGACAGAAUCAAAAAUGACUGGGAAGAACAAAUGCAUGGCCCUUGCUACUUGUGGUAAGACACGCAGCUGAGGCUAAGCAUCUGAGGAUAGCCUAUCUGUGGACUGACCCCACGAGGGGCCCACUGCCUCCUGCGGUUAUGGUGGUGUGACUUCUUACUGUGGCCACAGCUGUGAGGUCCCUACUGUUAGGUAGAAAGACUCAUGACUAAGGCUGAACUGUCUGAAUGUGGAAUAUCUGAGGGGGGGAAUCCCAGAUGGUUGUUUUCUUCUAUAAGGUAUGAAGGGGCACUCCUCCUCGAUACAUAGUGUCCUCGGUAUGAAGACCGUGAAUAAAAGAAAUGGGUCAAGAGUUAAGGAUGGCACCCUAGAAGUAGAACAUAUUGGGUGUGAGAGCGUAGGCAGCCAUUCGUGGCCUCUGCUAUGGCAGUAUUACAUGCAACUGAGGUGCCACCUAUGGGAAGGGGGACAUUCCAUGGACGACACCCUCUGCAUUAGCCUCUGGUUUGGAAUGAGAGGUAGAGGACAUUGGAUAGCAAGGAGAGAGAUAAUGAUGUGCAAAUGAGGGCGAAUACCACUAAAGUCACAUCCUCAACCCAGAGAAGAGAACCCAUGAUUCAGCAUGCAGACAGGACCUCAGUCACAGUCCAGGAAACCGAUAAUUAGGGAAUACUUUACCGCUAAACUGCUUGAAUUGGAAACAGCUUUUAAACAAGAAUUGAAAGAGGCUCUUAGAACCUGGUUCAAGAGGUGCGGAUAGAAUCAGCCAAGCAUCACGAAAGCAGAGAAACGCAGUGACCUAAUUCCUCAUCUUUCCUUGAGACAAGGGUGUCAGGACCUGAAGCACUGUGGGAAAUCAGGCCCCAAAGGGCUGGUCCAGAUAGGCCAUCUGGGAUACUUUCACUCAGAACCAAACCAAUCUGCCCUGUCCCAGGCUCCGCCUUCCCCUUCCUGCCUGGUGCAUAGACUGAGAGGAAGCACUGACCAGGGACCCCACCCACACCCACACUCUCCCAACUCCCAGGGGUACUUCAGCAGCGCUGGUACACAGGAGAUUGGGAACCACAGCAACUGUCCCAGCCCCCACUGUGUCCCACUCCAGGAAACACGGACUAAGGUCUCCCAUUGCAGACUGUGUUCCACUGCCCUCCACCCUCUUGCUCCCUACCACCCCGGCAGCUUGUCAGCAGCUCUUUGGUGAUGCUCCAGAUACCCCAGUGGUGAGACUGACACACACACACACACACACACACACACACACACACACACACACACAGACACAGACACACACACAGCAGCCCAGCAGGACAGGGCUACAGGUUCUGUAGAGACCCUAUCUGAAAAACCAGAAAAGUAGUAGUAGUAAUAAUGAUGAUGAUGAUGAUGAUGAUGAUGAUGAUGAUGAUGAUCAAAUCAGUGGGUAAAUUGAGCUUGUAAAGUGCUAAAGCAAUCAAGAGGGAAAAGGAAAAGCUAAACGCAGAAUCCCGAGGAUUUAGCUCAUGGUGCAGUUCUUUUCUAGCACGAAUGAGGCCCCGGCUUCAAUAACACUCCCUUCGGGUAGAGGGAGGCAGGAAGAUAGGACUUCAAGGUCACCCUUGACUACUUAGAAAAUUCUAGGCUGGGAUGGGCUGCAUGAGACAGUCUCAAAAAGAAAAGGAAGAAGGAUAGAAGGAAGGAAGGGAAUGAGAGAGGGAGGGAGGGAGGGAGGGAGGGAAGGACGAAGGGAGGUGAUCGGACAAAGGGUGUGUCCAGGUCACUGGAAAGAAAAUGAAAAGACUGGUGACAAGCCAGAGUUCCUAGAGGAGAAAAUGACAAGAAGCCAAAUAGUCUUGUGCGUUGUCAGUGCUUGUGAGCCCCAAGGAGGCUGUAAAACCCAAGCAAUAAUUCCACAAAGGAAUAAAGGAAGAAGCCUAAGAGAAGAAAACGCUGAAGUUUGCCCCAGGGGUUGGUAAUUAGCCCUCAGGAGUGUGGUGUGCACAUUUUCCUCCCAUAACAGAAGUGUGUGUGUGUGUGUGUGUGUGUGUGUGUGUGUGUGUGUGUGUGUGUGUGUGUGUGUGUGUGUUUCUGAGGGGUCUGACCAACCUGGAAUCUAUUUAGCUUUAGCAGUCAAGUGUGGCCAGGAGAUUGGCAAUGUCCUCAGACUUUGCCUUCAGAAUAUCAGAACUGGAUGCUGUAUGAUGAGCUGGUGCCUGCAUGGAAACUAGACCAAGGCUCUACUCCCUCUUGUCCCAGGCUAGAGGAAGCAACAGAAGCUAAGCCCUACUGUGUCCCUAGGGCUGGGGAGACUCACAGAAGGCUUUGGCAGCAGACUGGGAUGACUAUGUAAUUAGAGAGUGCUGGUAAGAUACUACCUCUCACCCACACAAAUAUACCCAAUAUUGCAUCUUUGAGGAAAUGGUCCACAUUUGCAAUUGAAUCUUUUCAUGCUGUAAUGAACAUUGAUAAUGUUUGUGCACUUGGGCUUGCACCCUUAGCUGCAGAAUAUCAAGACCAUAUGGCACAGCAGUGACCUUCAGACAUCCCACCAACCUUUGUACAAAGACCCUGCUGUGUAGGUGGCAUGCUACCUUGAAAUUCUUUUACAGAUUAUGAAAAGCAUCUGAAAGGUGUGUAAAUGUAUCUAAAGAGGCAAGGAGGGGGAAUUCAGUCCACUCAGGCUGGGCACAGCUGGAAAACUCUUGGGUGUUUUUUGUUGUAUCAAGGGUAGAUGGUAACCAACAAGGACUGAGGAAAAUCCUACAACAUCCUGUGCCUCUAAAUGUAAGAAUAACUGCUACAGAAUUUAAGUUCAGAAGGCAUCCUAUAUGGGUGGGAAAGGCACAUCUAGAAACCAUAAUGUUAUUGAAUAUGAUCCCAGUGUCAGGAGUAGGUUACCUUCCUAUGAAUUGCUGGGCUGGGAACAGAAAAUGGAUGAGACCACCUAUGUGAUACAGGCUACAGAUAUUGCUGCUGAUUGCAUGUCAGAAUGAUUGCCUAGACAGACUACAUUGUUUUCACAACAUGAAGAAACUGGGCUAGGUCUGAGCUGAAAAACCCCUCCCUCCUGACAAGCUUUUGGAGUGUUGGAAGGGGAUAUGUGGACUGCUGGUAAAGGAUUGUUGGCAAUGGUCCUGCUUAUCUAUGGACCCUGAAUGUUAAUACUAUUUGCAUGCUAAAUAAUGUGUCUAUGGGUGCAACAGUGGUACAACUGAUACGGGAUGCGACCAACUACUUAUCCAUUGGUUUUAAUGAUCACUCCUCAGGAAGGGAUCCAUGUUUGUACUACAAUCCAGACAAAAACAAAACAAAACAAAACAACCCAAAACCCCGUAGCUGGAGAAGUCAUAGCCACGGUGAAGAAGAUACUAUGUAAAAAUGCCUUUUAAACACAUAUGUUUACAACCUAAGUCUUUUGUUACUGUUGGUGCUGGUCAGGGAAGCUCUCCUCUCUGUGGGAAGAAGAUA
rnacentral:sRNA from 1 species